rnacentral:lncRNA from 1 species
UGAGGAUGACAUCCCAGUGGAUGGAUUUACCAGCCAAGGCCAUCACUUUACUGAGUGUCUAGAAACCGCAUCUGGAGGCCCCUAGGGCAGUGCUGUGUCCCCCUUUCACCCACUACACCCUUCUGUGAAUCCUGGCAACCUUCAAAAAUGUACCUGAGGUGAAAUAAUGAGACAAAGGGCCUUAGUUCUAAAGCAAUCAGAAGCAGUGAGUUUGUGUGUUCUGAUCACCUCUCCCUGGCGCUGUGAACAGUCCCCGUUCUUACAGCACGAGUGCCCUGCUAGCCUUAGAUUUCCUCCUGAGGCUGCUGGGCCUGAGCUGGAUGUGGGGUUUUGUCCGAAUGUGCCAUCCCAGUCAGGUGCUUGAUGCUUGAUGCUCUGGCUAAGGAAUGAAGGUGUUAGGACCCUGAAGGGAAGUUGGGACCCCAGUACAUCCUUCCCUGGAGGUGACAUAAAGUGUCCUCUUCACUGAGCACAGACAGGACUUCUGUAAAAAGAGAAGUGAGCCCCAUGAGCUCUGUAAAAAGAGAAGUGAGCUGCCCGCCCUGCCUUCUCGGCUUUCCUUUGUCUUUCAGAUGGAGAUGCGCUGACCUGCCCCAAUACCUAUUGUUGUUUGUUAAAUUACUCCAAGAUAGUUAUAGUCAAUGGCAAACACCCACUUAGAAGCACAAAUCAUGUCAGAUGUUCAGGACCAGCACAAACAAUCAAUCAAGUAAACAGCACCUUCCUUGAAUAUGUGGCAGGUGUGUGAGGAUUUUAUGAACCUGUUCUGCAUUUCCAAAUCCACCCUGAGGCUUCUCCCAGGACACAGUCCUGUGGAUCAGCCUGUACUCGGGCGGUUUUACCUUCUGUGUCUCUCUGUCACAGUAGUCUUGUCCUAGUGCUCAUCACUGCACGUUCCCAGCUCCAGCAAGUGGCCAGGCUUUUCCCUCCACAGCCAAAGGCCCGAUGGCCCAGCCCCCAGGUGGCUGGUGGCCCUUCCAUGGCUGAGGUCACACACCCAGCAUCGCAUCCUGCCCUUCUCGGGGCCUUGGGCCCCUUCGGCUCUUCUCCAGGGAUUGCACUUGCUCCUGCUGCCCACGGCGGUUUCCUUCCUGUGAUUCCACUCGGAGGGGGCAGUUUUCUUUCCUGGCUUCAACCAUCACAGAGCUGCUUUGUGUUCACCGGCAGCUGCCACGCUUCCCUGAAAAGGCAGCUUCCGUUCUGCUGGAGAUGAACUGAUUUGCCUGGCAGCCAACUUAAACAAGGAGACUUGUCAGAAGUUGAUGUGCAGCAGAGAGUAGCAACUCUGACAAUAAAAGGGGUGAAUAAAUUAUUAUCCUUUAACCUCAAUCUCAGUAUCAGGUAAAGUACCAUAUUAAUUUAAUUUCCUGUUUCUUAUUAUUUUAA